AGUUUGAUCCUGGCUCAGAACGAACGCUGGCGGCGUGUCUUAAGCAUGCAAGUCGAACGAGAACCAUGGUGCUUCAGCUUGCUGAAGCGCCGGGGGACAGUGGCGAACGGGUGAGUAACACGUAGGUGAUCUGCCCCGAAGUGAGGGAUAGCCUAUGGAAACAUAGGGUAAUACCUCAUGUGAUCCGAGGAUUGGAAGCCUCGGAUGAAAGGCGCAAUUGUGUCGCUUUGGGAUGAGCCUGCGGUCCAUUAGUUAGUUGGUGAGGUAAUAGCUCACCAAGGCGAUGAUGGAUAGCCGGCCUGAGAGGGUGAACGGUCACACUGGGACUGAGACACGGCCCAGACUCCUACGGGAGGCAGCAGCUAAGAAUAGUCCGCAAUGGGGGAAACCCUGACGGUGCGACGCCGCGUGGGUGAUGAAGGCCUGACGGUUGUAAAGCCCUUUUCUCAGCGAAGAAUAAGGUGAGGAGUGGAACGCCUCAUCGAUGACGUUAGUUGAGGAAGAAGCCCCGGCCAAUUACGUGCCAGCAGCCGCGGUAACACGUAAGGGGCGAGCGUUGUUCGGAAUUAUUGGGCGUAAAGGGCGCGUAGGCGGUGCAGCAAGCUUGGUGUAAAAGGCUCGG
rnacentral:rRNA from 1 species